rnacentral:lncRNA from 1 species
UUUUCUUCUUUUUGGCAGCACGUGCCACAUGCAGAAAUUCCUGGGCCAAAGAUUGAACCUGUGCAAUAGCAAUGACCCAAGCCUACAGCAGUGACAACACUUGAUUCUUAACUCGAUAAGCCACACAGGAACUCCUUAAUUUAAUCCCAUAGUGGUUACCUCAGCAGUUACUAGCAACCUACUUUGCAGAAUAUCAACUUAGUUUUAAAUAUACAUUUUGAGAGUUCCCGUUGUGGCGCAGUGGUUAACGAAUCCGACUAGGAACCAUGAGGUUGUGGGUUCGGUCCCUGCCCUUGCUCCGUGGGUUAACGAUCCGGCAUUGCCUGAGGAUCACUUGUACUGAUAAAUCAGUUCUCUCUUCCUAUUUCAAAUUCUCUUUUGUUGUUUGUUUUUAAUGGCCACACCCACAGCCUAUGAAAGUCCCUGGGCCAGGGAUUGAAUCCAAGCUGUAGCUACAACUUACACUGCAGCUGCAGCAACGCCAGAUCCUUAGCCCACUGUGCUAGGCUGAGGAUCAAACCCGAGCCUUCACAACAACCCAUACCACUGCAGUCAGGCCCUCAACCCACUGCGCCACAGUGGGCAUUCCUCAAAUUCUCUUGGUCCUUGAGUUUCAGUAAUUUGAUCACCUUGGGUUUAUCCUGCUUAGUGUGCACUGAGCUUGUACAUGUAUUUCCUCAGAUUUGGAAAGUUUGGGGCCAUUUAUUUCUUCAGAUGAUUUUGCUGCCCUUUUUCUUUUUUUCUCUCUAUCUGGGAUUCCAGUAGCACAUGUGUUGCUAUGUCUGAUGGUAUCCCAUAGGUCCCUGAGCUCUAGCCAUUUUUAUUUUCUUUUUUUCUUUUUGUCUUGUUAGGGCUGCACCCAAGGCACAUGGAAAUUCCCAAGCUAGGGAUCCAAUAAGAGCUAUAGCCACCAGCCUACACCACAGCAACACGGGAUCCAAGCCACAGCUGCAACCUAUACCACAGAUCUAGGCAACGCCAGAUCCUUAACCCACUGAGCGAGACUAGGGAUCGAACUAGCAUCCUCGUGGAUGCUAGUCGGGUUCAUUAACCGCUGAGCCAUGAUGGGAACUCUUUCUAGUCAUUUUUCUUCAUUCUUUUUUCGUUCUGCUCCUAAGGCU